rnacentral:rRNA from 1 species
AUACGGAGGAUCCGAGCGUUAUCCGGAUUUAUUGGGUUUAAAGGGUGCGCAGGCGGGAGAUUAAGUCGGCGGUGAAAUUUUGCAGCUCAACUGUAAAAGUGCCUUCGAAACUGGUUUCCUUGAGUGUAGAUGAAGUAGGCGGAAUUUUUGGUGUAGCGGUGAAAUGCAUAGAUAUUACGAGGAACUCCGAUUGCGCAGGCAGCUUACUAAACUACUACUGACGCUCAGGCACGAAGGCGUGGGGAUCAAACAGGAUUAGAUACCCUGGUAGUCCACGCAGUAAACGAUGAUUACUAGCUGUUUGCGAUACAAUGUAAGCGGCUGAGCGAAAGCGUUAAGUAAUCCACCUGGGAAGUUCGUUCGCAAGAAUGAAACUCAAAUGAAUUGACGGGG